GGGAGUCUGUACUAAAGCCAUCAGUCGCCAGACCUGGUGGUUUGAAAAGGUGUUUUACGGCUUCCAUCUCAAGUUAGUUAACCAACAUUAAAAAUAAAUUCACUACAAUGCUCUGCUUCCAGUUAAAUGCUCUGCAUGAAUUCUUCAAAGUUUUUUUAUGCCAUCUUGAGAAUUCCUGGAGUUCACUGCCUUAAAGUGGUGGUUAGACUCCACUUAGACCAAGUGCCUUGGAUAGAACCUGGAGGCAAAGUCCACAUCCUAAAAUACAGUGUCUCUUCAAUAAAACACUAGGUGUUUUUUUCUGUGUAGCCAGAGAAAUGAUUUUGCAUUUAAACUACUGUAUCUAAGUUGCUACUUUUUCCCACC
rnacentral:lncRNA from 1 species